rnacentral:rRNA from 1 species
CCUACGGGCGGCAGCAGUAGGGAAUCUUCCACAAUGGGCGAAAGCCUGAUGGAGCAACGCCGCGUGGGUGAAGAAGGUCUUCGGAUCGUAAAACCCUGUUGUUAGAGAAGAAAGUGCGUGAGAGUAACUGUUCACGUUUCGACGGUAUCUAACCAGAAAGCCACGGCUAACUACGUGCCAGCAGCCGCGGUAAUACGUAGGUGGCAAGCGUUAUCCGGAUUUAGUGGGCGUAAAGGGAACGCAGGCGGUCUUUUAAGUCUGAUGUGAAAGCCUUCGGCUUAACCGGAGUAGUGCAUUGGAUACUGGGAGACUUGAGUGCAGAAGAGGAGGGUGGAACUCCAGGUGUAGCGGUGAAAUGUGUAGAGAUAUGGAAGAAUACCAGUGGCGAAAGCGGCUCUCUGGACUGUAACUGACGCUGAGGUUCGAAAGCGUGGGUAGCAAACAGGAUUAGAUACCCCAGUAGUC